UUUGAUUCCAUAAUGACUAGGUCAUUUAUUUCAGGAAUGAAAUGAUGUUUCAGGGCUAAAAAUUAUCGAUGAAAUUUACUGCAAUCGUUGAUGACAAAAGGAAGAAAAAAUAGACAAGAGGACCUCAACUAAUGAAAUUCAACAGCCAUUUCUGUCUGUUUAAAACAAAACUCGCAGCAUCUAAGAAUGUAUAGGAAACAAGGCAACAUUCUUGACUCAAAAUAUAUCAAAUGUAUUUGUGAUGGAGUCAACAGCAUGAGAUGGUGACAAAUAUGAAGAAGAUAAAUGAAAGCUCCUAACUAAAAUUCUCAGUAAAUAUAGAAGGUAAAAAGGGAGAAAAGAAGGAGUAAAUCAACAUUGUGUCUAUGAAACG
rnacentral:lncRNA from 1 species